rnacentral:rRNA from 1 species
AGAGUUGAUCCUGGCUCAGAAUGAACGCUGGCGGCGUGCUUAACACAUGCAAGUCGCACGAGAACACCUCAGCUUGCUGGGGUAAGUAAAGUGGCGCACGGGUGAGUAACGCGUGGGUAAUCUGUCCCUGGGUUCGGGAUAACUCCGCGAAAGCGGGGCUAAUACCGGAUGACAUCAUCGAGACUUUGGUUUCGUUGAUUAAAGGUGGCCUCUCCAUGGAAGCUAGUGCUUGGGGGUGAGCCCGCGUACCAUUAGCUAGUUGGUAGGGUAAUGGCCUACCAAGGCGACGAUGGUUAGCUGGUCUGAGAGGAUGAUCAGCCACACUGGAACUGACACACGGUCCAGACUCCUACGGGAGGCAGCAGUGAGGAAUUUUGCGCAAUGGGGGAAACCCUGACGCAGCAACGCCGCGUGAGUGAUGAAGGCCUUCGGGUCGUAAAGCUCUGUCAAGUGGGAAGAAUCCAUUCCAGCCCAACACGUUGGGGUGUUGACGGUACCACUGAAGGAAGCACCGGCUAACUCCGUGCCAGCAGCCGCGGUAAUACGGAGGGUGCAAGCGUUAUUCGGAAUUAUUGGGCGUAAAGGGCGCGUAGGCGGCGAGGCAAGUCAGAUGUGAAAUCCCGGGGC